CCGCCGCCGCCGCCUGAGGGGAAAGCGGGACAGCGGCGCUCCGGCGGCCGCGCCCCGGCAUUGCGUGUUCGAGCGUGUCCCGUGUCUGCCAGCUCCGAGCGUCUUCGGGCCUGUUGACAGAGAGAGAGAGAGAGAGAGAAACAGAAAGAAAGGAAGUCAGUCUGUCAACUGAAUUGAUCAAUAGGCAUGUAGAGACAGAAGAAUUUAGAAAGAAAAUGUCAUGGCUCAUGAUACAAAGAAAUGGAGGUUGAAAUUUCAGGGCAUUAACUGGGAGCAUCGCCUGCUAAGAAUUCCAUUAUGUGAGCCAUCUACCCUUCAUUGUUUUAAUUACAACAAGUAAUAAAUAAGCAGAAGAGAAGCAGGGGAGAUAGAUGUGAACUGCACAGAGGAUACCAUUCACCUGCUCCUGAUAUGUCAGGCUAAUGGCAAUUUUGUUUAGGAUGUUUUUCAGCUGACUCAGAAGCAUGUGGUACUAUCACAUUUUACUGCAUAAAAAUAAUGUGAUACAAUAAAAUAAAGUAAACAAUUUUAAA